AUUGAUUUUAUGCUUGCAUAAAUGAUUUUUGGAUUCGGAGCGAGUGGCGAACUGGUGAGUAACACGUGGGUAACCUGCCCCGAAGCGGGGGAUAACAUCUGGAAACAAGUGCUAAUACCGCAUAAUUAGUUGGAACCGCAUGGUUCCAACUUGAAAGAUGGCUCUGCUAUCACUUUGGGAUGGACCCGCGCCGUAUUAGUUAGUUGGUGAGAUAAAAGCCCACCAAGACGAUGAUACGUAGCCGACCUGAGAGGGUAAUCGGCCACAUUGGGACUGAGACACGGCCCAGACUCCUACGGGAGGCAGCAGUAGGGAAUCUUCCACAAUGGACGAAAGUCUGAUGGAGCAACGCCGCGUGAGUGAUGAAGGUUUUCGGAUCGUAAAACUCUGUUGUUAAAGAAGAACAAGUGUUAGAGUAACUGUUAACACUUUGACGGUAUUUAACCAGAAAGCCACGGCUAACUACGUGCCAGCAGCCGCGGUAAUACGUAGGUGGCAAGCGUUGUCCGGAUUUAUUGGGCGUAAAGCGAGCGCAGGCGGUUUUGUAAGUCUGCUGUGAAAGCCCUCAGCUCAACUGAGGAAGUGCAGUGGAAACUACAAAACUUGAGUACAGAAGAGGAAAGUGGAACUCCAUGUGUAGCGGUGAAAUGCGUAGAUAUAUGGAAGAACACCAGUGGCGAAGGCGGCUUUCUGGUCUGUUACUGACGCUGAGGCUCGAAAGCAUGGGUAGCGAACAGGAUUAGAUACCCUGGUAGUCCAUGCCGUAAACGAUGAAUACUAGGUGUUGGAGGGUUUCCGCCCUCCAGUGCCGCAGCUAACGCAUUAAGUAUUCCGCCUGGGGAGUACGACCGCAAGGUUGAAACUCAAAGGAAUUGACGGGGGCCCGCACAAGUGGUGGAGCAUGUGGUUUAAUUCGAUGCUACGCGAAGAACCUUACCAGCUCUUGACAUCUUCUGCCAACCCAAGAGAUUGGGCGUUCCCUUCGGGGACAGAAUGACAGGUGGUGCAUGGUUGUCGUCAGCUCGUGUCGUGAGAUGUUGGGUUAAGUCCCGCAACGAGCGCAACCCUUAUUAUUAGUUGCCAGCAUUUAGUUGGGCACUCUAGUGAGACUGCCGGUGAUAAA
rnacentral:rRNA from 1 species